GCGCUCCAGAGCGAGCGGAGGGCUGAGGACUGCGCAGAUGGUGCUUGGGCAGAGCUCUUCGGUCCGGUUCGUCUUUCCCACCAACCAGCAAUGAAGAUGGCAGCUCUGCCUGGAAGUGGUGAGGACACAACCAGCUUUGAGCUUGGUCCUUCUGGCUGAGGAAGUCUCCUGAUUAUGCAGUGGAGUGGUACGGUGGAGAUGAAGGAUUUUCUCUCUCAGCCUGCAG